GGGAAUAUUGCACAAUGGGGGGAACCCUGAUGCAGCGACGCCGCGUGAGUGAAGAAGUAUUUCGGUAUGUAAAGCUCUAUCAGCAGGGAAGAAAAUGACGGUACCUGAAUAAGAAGCCCCGGCUAACUACGUGCCAGCAGCCGCGGUAAUACGUAGGGGGCAAGCGUUAUCCGGAUUUACUUGGUGUAAAGGGAGCGUAGACGGUUAUGCAAGUCUGGAGUGAAAGCCCGGGGCUCAACCCCGGGACUGCUUUGGAAACUGUGCGGCUGGAGUGCCGGAGAGGUAAGCGGAAUUCCUAGUGUAGCGGUGAAAUGCGUAGAUAUUAGGAGGAACACCAGUGGCGAAGGCGGCUUACUGGACGGUAACUGACGUUGAGGCUCGAAAGCGUGGGGAGCAAACAGG
rnacentral:rRNA from 1 species